AAAUACUAAGAUCCAGUGAUUAUUUAAACAAAUGUCGGUUAAUCACGUUAUUGGCCCUUUAACAGUUAAACUAGUAAAUUCAAACAUAUUUAAGGUGGUUGAAAAAUUAAAAUUAGGCGAGCGUAGCGAGGCGAAAAUUGUUAUUCAACUACAAUCAGUCCAGCGUUGUCAUAUGGUUGAUGCAUUUCCAUAAAGAUAAAAACUGAAUCUACUAAAGCGUAGGCCCAUCUUAGAUGCUCGAAGCAUGUCGCUUUCGAAUGAUAUAUUAAUCAAAUAAAUAACUUCAAGGCUUUUGGAAAUGCCAAUAUGCCAAAGAUGACCGAUUUUUGAAUUGUGAAGCUUGUUUUGAUUGUCAAAAACGACGAGACCAAAAUUUCAUCAUGUCUUACAAAAGGCCAAAUUAUUAUUUGUGUAGUGUUUUAAGAGCUCUAAACGAUGACAUGUUGAAUUUAGUACUGGACACAGUGAUACUCGUUUUUCUGCUUAUUUAACGUAUAAGAACGCCACAACAAGAAUUACUGUUUUUUAGAAGAACAUUUUAGAAUUUAUAAACAAGUCCGGUGUUCGGCAGAUUCAUAAAAAGCGAACAAUCAACACAUGAAAGUGUGCAUUCGAUGAUAGCUGAUUACAUAUUGCAAUAAGAAUAUUUGCAAUAAUCAGCAAAAUAUGUUUGCUAUUUCGCUGUCUACCAAUAUGUCGAAAUUUAACUCGUUCUCUACCAAGUGUUCGAAAAAUUAAAACAUUUAUAUGGGAAAUAAAGUGUUCGGAAAAAUUGGUUUAAAUUCAGUCAUUCUGAAAGAAUAAAUUUCGAGAAAAUGCUUAACCCUCUGAUUGUUUGUUGCAUUUACACCUUAACUUCGUUUCAUGGGGCGUACAGCGCCCCAAGUGCAUUUUGUAUGAAAACUUGAUUGUAAUAUGAGAUAGCCACUUAGUGUCUUUGACAAAGUUGUAGUACUUAACCCGCUCUACAACGUUGCUGAAGAACAUAUUGCUUAUCUCUUAUCAGUUCCGCGAAAUACGCGAAAAACCACGAAAACGUGAAUUUUCGGCUCCUCAUUUUUCACGGAAUUGACAAGAUAUAAAUGAUGAGUGCCUUCAGCAAAGUUGUAGAGCAAGUCAAGUAGUACAAUUUUUUGAAGACACCAUCUCCUUAUCUCUUAUCAGUUCCGCGGAAAAUGAUAAGAGAAAAUUCGCGUUUUUCGCGAUUUUUCGCGUAAAUGAUAAGAGAUAACGAAUUGGUGUCUUCGGCAAAGUUGUAGCAUUCAGCCGGCACUAUAAAUUUGCCCAAAACAGAUAUCGCUUAUCUCUAUCAGUUACGCAAUAUACGCGAAAAACCGCGAAAGAUUUCCCACCAUAUGGGGUUUUUGAUAAUUUUUUUUUGCUUGACUGAUAAGAGAUAAGUGACAUCUGUUUCCAGCAAAGUUGUACAGGACCACAAGUACUACAAUUUUUCCCGUGCUUUAUUUCGUUAUCUCUUAUCAGUUAAGCGAAAAACCGCGAAAAACGCGAGAUUUCUCUUAUCAUUUUUCGCGUUACUGAUAAGAGAUAAUGACUUGGUUUCUUGAGCAAAGUUGUAGAACCUAAUCUGCUCUACAGCUUUGCUGAAGACAGCUAUCAAUUAUCUCUUAUCAGUUCCGUGAAUUUUGUGGAACUGAUAAGAGAUAAGCGAUAUCUGUCUUUAGUGAAGAUGUAGAGGACCUCUAGUACUACAUAUUUGCCGAAGACUUUAAAUCGUUAUCUCUUAUCACAGUCCAAGAAACGAACGCAUGCACAUGUGUUGUGGGAGGCAAUAUCUCACACAUUCUUACACAUAUGCACAUGAAAUUUCACUGACGUAUAGCUAAAGGUUCAAGCUAUCGAAUGGUACCUAUUUCAAUGUGGUUUUUUCGUUUUUUGGUACUUUUAUUCGAGGUGCAAAGUCACCUCGGGCGUUGUACACCCGACAAACGAUUAGAGGGUUAAGAAAAGGUCAAAACAUGAACAAACUAAUGAAGACUUACGGACCAUUUUCCCAUUUAGAGCGGAUCAUUUGACUUUUACAACGGACCAUUUGGGCAAGAACGGACCAUUAAAAUAAUUCAUGAUGUAUAGUGUGACUACCGCACAGUAUUCGGUGAUCCCAAUCCAUUGGUGUUAUUGCCACAUCGAAAUUCGCAUUCCUUAUCAAAUUAUCAACUACUUAUUGUUAUUCAAGGACGAACCAAAAAAUUGGUUCGUCCGUCUUCUCCAAAAAGGACGGACGGACAGUUAGAGACAACACUAACUUGAGAAAUAAAGUGCCGCAAUCCGAAAUUAGGGGGCUGAGCGUAGCAAAGCGAUCUUGCUAGCAAAUAAUAGGUCAAAAACGAUCACAAACUCAACGAAUGGCUAUAUCACAAUCAAUGUUGCUAAAUUUACAAUAAAGUACAGAUAAACCUUAGCACUAGCAAUCUGUGCCAUUUUUCAUAAGGCGUCUCCACUCGCAUUGAGUUUGUAUUGUGAAUGUUAAGGUGCGUGCAACGCCCUUCAAUGUAAAAAACAAUACAAGUGGAGAUGAUACACGGGAUUUAUCUGUAUUUUGUGUAAAAAUCAUAGUUAUUACUAAGUAUGUAGAUCAGUAUUUCAAUUUGGUUCCACACGUUGCGUACUGAUAUGAUGAAGUUUGCACGGCUAGUUGAAUUUCUGAACUGAUCAGCCGCUUCGUUCAAAUACUUGCACAUUUGUGACACUUAAGCCCUGAUUCGCUUGUCCUUAAUCUUUAGUUAGUUUGUGUGGCGCAAGGUAGUUUGUGUGCUCUCACCUACUGCAAUGUCGUUCCGUACACACACAAAAGAAAUUUAUGACAAAUCACUAAGUGUCAUCGCAAACCGAGAUAAACAGUAUAUUUAUACUUUUGCGAUGAAUUCUAUCGUAUUUGUAUACGUAAACACCAUUAAAUACAUGGUUUAUCCCGGUUUGCGAUGAAAUUUAGAGGUUAUGUUUUCUCCGUGCAGUAGGACACAAUAUAGUAAAUAAAUACAAUUGAUGCAUUUACUUUCCUUCUCUCCAAUGAUGUUUCAUUGUUUCAUAGACAAAUCGUCUAACUAUAUGCUUUCUGCGGAAACCUGUAAUCCACAUAAACAGAGUAAAGAUAUGGUUUCUUUGGAUUAUUUUGAGGCAUGCCAGAGUUUUUUUGCGGGCCGUCGAUGGAUUUCAAAAUUUUCCAAAAACUAGGCACCCUAAUAUGUAUUGUUCCGUAUGGAAGAAAUUCAUUCAUUCUUGUGCGGGGAAUCGUCUGUAUGUACUAAAAAUACAACGAAAUGAAAACGAAUUUAUACGAUGUAUGCAUAAUAUGCAUUGCAUAUUAUUAUGACUUGCGCUUUUUAUAAGAAAAAAAAAACAAUAAAUAACACCAAGGAACAAUACACUCAACGGACGUAUGCAUACCAGUUUCUGAAUUUGACAUGACCAGACAUGACAUGACGUGUCUGCCAUACGCAACUUUCUAACCGUAGUUAGCGUCAGCGAUGCCCAAAAAGAGUUUUCAUAGAGCCGAAAAUCAAUUUUAUUGCAAAAAAGAGAGGCAGAACACAUAUCAUUUUUGAGAUAUUAUGACUGGUACUGGGUUUACCCUACGGAUGAUACUGCCCCGCCUUCCCCAACAUAAAAUAAGUAAACAUGGAAAUGCCUGUAGAAAUAUAACCAAAUUAUUUUUCUUUUUUUCUGCUUUAUAUUAAAAUAUGCGAACACCAGAUGUACGCCACCACAUAAAAGUACUGACUAUCAGAAAAUAUAUUCAGACUGGUGCAAUGAGUUUGAAAAAUACAAGUCAGCUAUGAAAUCUUGGGAAAAGAAACAAGUGCAAUGCUCGGCUCGCCAAAAUUACAGCAAUCAACAUCCAAAUGACAUCGUUUCAAGUAAUAUCAAUAUAAACGUUUGACCAGUCGGCUUAAACACGCUCACCGAAAAACUGCCAAGUUUUAGUCGCCUACAAAAUCCUUGAAUCGAUCGUCACAACGUUCAGAAAAAGUUAAAAAUGGAAGAUAGACAUUAUUCGCUCAACUAAACACAGAAACCCAUCGUAUUCUUAGACUACAUUAAAUUCAAACGGGGUGCAUGAACAUGCGGCUCCAAUUUUUUCCGUAUUUGGUGAGAAAACUUAUCAUGAACAAAGCGAAAUCACGAAAAAUGAAUUAAAUACGAAAACCAAUGAUUAAAAUUUGCAUGUCACGAAAGUGUUUUUGUCAAAACUUAUGCAAAAGAGGUUUAAAACUGUGAUAUUAGUUGAAAUCAAUUAAACAGUUCAGCUUAAAAGAGAAAACUAAAGACCAAUUUUAAUUUUGACAAAACCAUUUGCAAAUGAAUUGAGUACACAAUUGCAUUUACGUUACAACGUUGUUCGAGGGUUUUGCUCGUUCAUAUAUUGCAAUAUAUUGAAAACAAAAUGUUUGGAAGAUAUUCAAAAUCUUAAAAAUUUGAACGUUGUCGAACAGUUGGACAGGCAAGUGCUUGCUGGUUGCAAGUAUUUCACUUGCAUGCUAUUUUGCUCGACAUUUGUAGUGCGAACGUCCACAAGAUAUCUCGUGUAGUCAAAAUAAUCGAUUUUUCGAAUUUUGAGUAGAUUUUUUCGAAAAUAGAUCAUUCUGACAGACGGAUGACUUACCUUGUGAAACAAAAUUGCAUGCAAGUGAAAUACUUGCACACAAUCUUUGAGCAACUGAUCAGCACUGGCAUUCAAGUGAGAUUUUCGUCCAAAAGGCCGAAUCGAAACCAUUUCAAUCCGAAAAUAAAAACGUUGAAAACAAUGCUUGCAAUGUCUGACAGGAUAUUUAGUUAAUAUCAAAAUAAAUAUUUGAACUUAUCGAAUAUUUUGCGAAAAUAGCCAACGCAACUUCCAAACAUUUUUUAGUAGAGUUCUUACCAAACAUAUAUCGGAUUAGAUUAUUAUUGGAUAUCAAAUAUUAUUACAUUGUUUAAAAAAUAUUCUCAUCCAACCUUCAUCCUGAUCAUAGUCUUAGUGACUGUGAUUUCGAAAUCUCUAUGAGCAUAUAUUGGAUCAGUAAUCCAUCUAAACUACAAAAUUAAUUUUUUAUAACUCAAUAAGAAUUUAAAUCAUCAACAAAUGAUUGAAUUUUCAUUGUUAAAGUGAUUAUUGCCAAUUAUAUGAAACUGAAUGGUAAUUUUUUUUUUGCAUUUUCUUUUGAAAAAAUUUGGGAAAAAACUCUUUUUUCGUUAAUAUUCAGCCUGAAAAUUGAUGGGGUAGAAAGGUAGACAGUAAUUGACUCAAAACAUUUGUUUGCGAUUUAAGAAAUAAUCUAUUUACAAACAAUUUUUACCAUUAAGUCCCUUAAAAAAAUAAUAAGAAUCACUACAAUAACAAAAUAUCAUUUUCCUCAUUUACGGUGUUUUUGGCAAAUUUUUAAAAUAUUCGGAGCCACUUGUUCUUGUCAGGGGCAUUGGUUCGUAUGAACAACGAAUGGAUACUGCGAACAUUUCAUUUUCUACGAACGAACAUCCGAACUAUUUAUAUAUCCUAAACUAGACCUCCGGACAAAAAAGUUUUAUUUUUUCCUUGGGGGAGGGGGCAAUGGUUGUUCAAGGAUUGCUCUAUCGAUCCCGCAUAAAGAAUUUUUGCAAAUCCCAGUGUAACACCCAAUGCUUAUGUGAGACUUGUAAGUUUUAUUGAAAUGUAUAUUGUAUACAAUUCGAAUAUUGAAAAUAAAACUUUAAUUUGAAUAGAAGAAAAUACGGAACACUUCUCUCUAGGUUUAAUUGCGAUGCAUUUUUGUAAUAGUGGCCGUCUCGCCUGAACAUAAUAAUUUUUUAGGGAAAUUUUUGCUCAGAAUUUCCCAUAGUUAUAUGUUAGCGUUAGUGGGGCUGCAAAGUAUUACCCAUUUCUAUCUUGGCUGAAACGUUCAUUUGUUCAGAAUUCGUUUUAGAACGUUAAUUAAGAUAAAACAUAAAUUCGGCCUGAAUGAAUAAGUUUUAAUAAAUUCAACUUGAAUUUUGUCCAGACUCACGGAACAGAAUUUUUGCACAAUGAUAACAUUACAACAAGAAAUCCUUACAAUAAAACUAAAGUUAAAUAAAGUUAAAAAAAUUCAAUUUUAAA